rnacentral:rRNA from 1 species
GUCCGCGCGGUAAACGAUGGACGCCCGCCGUGGGGUAGAUAUAUUCCGCGGCCAAGCGAAAGCGUUAAGCGUCCCACCUGGGGAGUACGCCGGCAACGGUGAAACUCAAAGGAAUUGACGGGGGCCCGCACAAGCGGAGGAACAUGUGGUUUAAUUCGAUGAUACGCGAGGAACCUUACCCGGGCUUGAACUGCAGACGACGGCGUCGGAGACGGCGCUUCCCUUCGGGGCGUCUGCGGAGGUGCUGCAUGGUUGUCGU